CUGGGGCAAAGGAAACGGAAAAGAGAUAAGGAAUGCUUUUGGAUCAGGAAUUCCUUCUCACUUUCCCCUUUCUGUUUGUCUUUC
ensembl:miRNA aca-mir-5403 aca-mir-5403